rnacentral:rRNA from 1 species
AUUGAACGCUGGCGGCAUGCCUUACACAUGCAAGUCGAACGGCAGCACGGGAGCAAUCCUGGUGGCGAGUGGCGAACGGGUGAGUAAUACAUCGGAACGUGCCCAAUCGUGGGGGAUAACGCAGCGAAAGCUGUGCUAAUACCGCAUACGAUCUACGGAUGAAAGCAGGGGACCGCAAGGCCUUGCGCGAAUGGGGCGGCCGAUGGCAGAUUAGGUAGUUGGUGGGGUAAAGGCUCACCAAGCCAACGAUCUGUAGCUGGUCUGAGAGGACGACCAGCCACACUGGGACUGAGACACGGCCCAGACUCCUACGGGAGGCAGCAGUGGGGAAUUUUGGACAAUGGGCGCAAGCCUGAUCCAGCCAUGCCGCGUGCAGGAUGAAGGCCUUCGGGUUGUAAACUGCUUUUGUACGGAACGAAACGGCCUUUUCUAAUAAAGAGGGCUAAUGACGGUACCGUAAGAAUAAGCACCGGCUAACUACGUG